rnacentral:rRNA from 1 species
UACGUAGGGUGCGAGCGUUGUCCGGAAUUAUUGGGCGUAAAGGGCUCGUAGGCGGUUUGUCGCGUCGGGAGUGAAAUCCACUGGCUUAACUGGUGGCUUGCUUUCGAUACGGGCAGACUGGGAGGUAUGCAGGGGAGAACGGAAUUCCUGGUGUAGCGGUGAAAUGCGCAGAUAUCAGGAGGAACACCGGUGGCGAAGGCGGUUCUCUGGGCAUGUCCUGACGCUGAGAAGCGAAAGCAUGGGGAGCGAACAGG